rnacentral:rRNA from 1 species
GACGAACGCUGGCGGCGUGCUUAACACAUGCAAGUCGAACGGAAAGGCCCUGCUUUUGUGGGGUGCUCGAGUGGCGAACGGGUGAGUAACACGUGAGUAACCUGCCCUUGACUUUGGGAUAACUUCAGGAAACUGGGGCUAAUACCGGAUAGGAGCUCCUGCUGCAUGGUGGGGGUGGGAAAGUUUCGGCGGUUGGGGAGGGACUCGCGGCUUAUCAGCUUGUUGGUUGGGUAGUGGCUUACCAAGGCUUGGACAGGUAGCCGACCUGAGAGGGUGACCGGCGACAUUGGGACUGAGCUACGGCCCAGACUCCAACGGGAGGCAGCGGUGGGGAGUAUUACACUGUGGGCGGGAGCCUGAUGCGGCCACGCCGCGUGCGGGAUGACGGCCUUGGGGUUGUAAACCGCUUUCGCCUGUGACGAAGCGUUAGUGACGGUACUGGGUGAAGAAGCACCGGCUAACUACGUG